CUCUCGAAGUACACUCGUGUAUCACGUCGUCUGUCUGCUUCUUCGAUGACGCAUUAAGACUGUCACAAAUGUUAAUAACGUGUUUUAUACGGAAUGAUAAUGUUCCAAAUCUAUUCGAAAAUAAAUAAAGAUGUUUCUGUUGUACUCUAACAUUUCAGAUGUAACGUUUGGGUCGUCAGCGAGCAGUCAUUACGUUCGUCUACAAGUGUGACUCUCAGAGGAGAAGAGACGCAGAUCGCGGAGCGCGG
rnacentral:misc_RNA from 1 species